AUUCAGCUGACGAGUCCCAAAUAGGGCGAAACGCGUUUCCUGGAU
rnacentral:hammerhead_ribozyme from 1 species